UACGGAGGGUGCGAGCGUUAUCCGGAUUCACUGGGCUUAAAGGGUGCGUAGGUGGGAAUGUAAGUCAGUGGUGAAAUCUCCGUGCUUAACAUGGAAACUGCCAUUGAUACUAUGUUUCUUGAAUUUUCUGGAGGUUAGCGGAAUAUGUCAUGUAGCGGUGAAAUGCUUAGAUAUGACAUAGAACACCGAUUGCGAAGGCAGCUAACUACAGGGAUAUUGACACUGAGGCACGAAAGCGUGGGGAGCAAACAGG
rnacentral:rRNA from 1 species